rnacentral:rRNA from 1 species
AUGGAUCCUAACCCACAUGUGUUGUGUUGGAACGUGAGGGGCCUUAACAACCCUGCCAAGAAGCAUGCAGUUAGGGAGUUUGUAGUGGCGGCCAAGGUUAGCCUUGUGUGUCUCCAAGAGACGAAACUAGAUGUAUUCGAUCCUUUCAUCGUUAUGCAAUGCAUUGGCCCAUCGUUCGAUGGGUUUGACUAUGUGCCGGCUGAGGAGACUCGUGGGGGCAUCCUACUUGCU